rnacentral:rRNA from 1 species
UACGUAGGGGGCAAGCGUUGUCCGGAAUCAUUGGGCGUAAAGAGCGUGUAGGCGGCCCGAUUAGUCCGCUGUGAAAGUCCAGGGCUCAACCCUGGAAUGCCGGUGGAUACUGUCGGGCUAGAGUCCGGAAGGGGCGAGUGGAAUUCCCGGUGUAGCGGUGAAAUGCGCAGAUAUCGGGAGGAACACCAAUGGCGAAGGCAGCUCGCUGGGACGUGACUGACGCUGAGACGCGAAAGCGUGGGGAGCAAACAGG